GACGAACGCUGGCGGCGUGCUUAACACAUGCAAGUCGAACGAAGUGGCGAACGGGUUAGUAACGCGUAAUCAACCUGCCCUUCAGAGGGGGACAACAGUUGGAAACGACUGCUAAUACCGCAUACUGAAGGAGGGGAUUGCGUCUGAUUAGCUAGUUGGAGGGGGAACGGCCCCCCAAGGAGAUGAUCAGUAGCCGGUCUGAGAGGGUGAACGGCCAAAUUGGGAAUGAGACACGGCCCAGACUCCUACGGGAGGCAGCAGGGGGGAAUCUUACGAAAUGGACGGAAGACUGACGGAGCAACGCCGCGUGAGUGAUGACGGCCUUCGGGUUGUAAAGCUCUGUUAAUCGGGACGCGGUACCGGAAUAGAAAGCCACGGCUAACUACGUGCCAGCAGCCGCGGUAAUUC
rnacentral:rRNA from 1 species